rnacentral:hammerhead_ribozyme from 1 species
CUUGUGCCGACGAGUCUCAAACAGGACGAAACACGCGUCCUGGAU